AGCAAUGACCGCUCAUUUUCUUCUCCACUCUCCCUUUCUUCUCGAUGGAAACCAGGGGCCAUAAUCCAUGGCCACCAACCUUCGGUCGAAACCCUUACCCAAAGCCUCCCUCAUCACUGACCAUAUUUCGUCAUCACUUCGACUAAGGGAGUCCAAAAAUCCUGAGAACAUCCGUAUAUCUCUCUUCUAUUGAAGCACUCGAAAACCCUUGGCCACCAUACACCUACCGUAAAGCGACGCUACUCUCCUUUGACCAAAAUUGCCAAGAGUCUUCACCGACGAAGAAUCUGAUGAUAGGAUGCAAGAGGGAUUUUAAAGUUACCUUUGAAGAUCGAAGGAUUUUCUGUUUUGGUGAAGAAGACCACUGUUUACUCCUCUGAGGUACUUUUGAAACGACUUCAGCAAGAAUAGAACAACUAACUUAUGGGACUCGAGUUUGCCAUUGGUCCGGGUUUACUCCAAAUCGGGUCUUUAUUUGGGUUGAAUCAAUGUUGCCUUGUUUGUGCCCCAGACACAUCGAACAUCUACACUAUGCCAAUGCAUCAUCUUAGUAGACUAAAUAGGAGAAUUAUUGCUAGUGCGUUACUAUCAUUAUUAGCUUAUUUUUGAACCUUUUGCUCAAUCACAUACUUCAAACCCUCGAUUACACACAUCUUAUACAUGCACUACAUUUAUUCACCUUUAUAAGGAAGGAGUGGCGUGGCAUCAA